AGUGAACGCUGGCGGUAGGCCUAACACAUGCAAGUCGAACGGCAGCACAGUAAGAGCUUGCUCUUACGGGUGGCGAGUGGCGGACGGGUGAGGAAUACAUCGGAAUCUACUUUUUCGUGGGGGAUAACGUAGGGAAACUUACGCUAAUACCGCAUACGACCUACGGGUGAAAGCAGGGGAUCUUCGGACCUUGCGCGAUUGAAUGAGCCGAUGUCGGAUUAGCUAGUUGGCGGGGUAAAGGCCCACCAAGGCGACGAUCCGUAGCUGGUCUGAGAGGAUGAUCAGCCACACUGGAACUGAGACACGGUCCAGACUCCUACGGGAGGCAGCAGUUGGGAAUAUUGGACAAUGGGCGCAAGCCUGAUCCAGCCAUACCGCGUGGGUGAAGAAGGCCUUCGGGUUUUAAAGCCCUUUUGUUGGGAAAGAAAAGCAGCAGGUUAAUACCCCGCUGUUCUGACGGUACCCAAAGAAUAAGCACCGGCUAACUUCGUG
rnacentral:rRNA from 1 species